UUAGCCCUGUGGAACUAAACGCCAGCAGAGUGAGCUGACUUUGUCUUUAUGCCAUAGGUUUCAUCAGACAAAACAUAAAGAAAAUUCUGAUCAGUGUUACUGUUGGUGCUGAUCUUAGGGACAGAGAAUGCCUAGUGUGUUUUUAGGUUCUAGAUGGAACUAGAGGUGGAAGUAAGAAGCAUCACAUUUUGCUUGUAAACUGGAUAUAUUUGUCCUAGCCCUCACUGAGAGGAAAUGAGUAUGAAACUUGAGUGUUAUUUUCAUGUGACUGCUUUUCAGAGCACAGCUGCACAUCAGAAACAUACUCCAACUUGGGGAGCCAUCAUGUCCCCAGGGUGUGCACUCUCCUUGCAGAUAAAAAAUGUGUACAGUGCUGACCCUUCAUUAGGAAGGGUUUCCUAGAGUGGCCAGAUCCUGAGCACCUGGCUGUUUUUUGCUGAAGGAGACCUGAGAAGUGUUCAGUCAUGACUAAGGGGACCCCAAGGAUGUAUCUGUGCUAAGUGCUAUCUCACACUGUUCCUAACAUUUUCACCAACAAAUGUAUCAGUGAGUGUUGAUGCUUCACUGCCAAAAGACAGUAGUAGACUGGAUCCGAUGAACAAUCAUGCUGCAGCUGUCUUAUUUUUCUCUUUGGUUAAUAGCUGGAGGAGCCAGCUGACAUGAGAUGAAGAAGGUAUUUUUCCAGCAGUAUCUGUUACCAGUGGAUAUAUGUGGUGUUUGUCAUGGCUGUCAGGAGUGUCGUGGAAUCUCUGUUUGCUUUGCUGUGUGUGCUCAGGCCUCUUGGAGCUUGCAGGGGAAUGAGAAGGCAGAGGUUAUCUGAGCAGCCCAGCAUGCAGGCAAGUUCCUGGAGGGCCCAAAAGAGUGCUCAGAGCCACAGGGUGUGUGACAUGCCACUUCAAGGACACAGUGAUAGGGAUACAAGCUGAGGGCCAUGAGAGUGACUGUUGAAAGAGGAAGAUGAGGCAGUGGUGUGCUUCUUAAAUAUGAGAGCUGGGUCCUCUUGCCAUGGGGUCUGUGGACACAUGAGGAGGCCCUUCCACUGCUUUGUGGGGGCCCCAGGGGUCAAUGGGCUGUGCCCUAUGCCAGGAGAACGUGACACAGUCACGGGGUGCCUGACUGGAACACCACCCUUCUGUCUUUGUGAAGAGCUGAGGGGAUGACCCUGUGGGACUGGGUGAAUGCCUGGGGUCUAACUCUUGGGUCAGGAUCCCAGCCCUAGGGAGAGGGAUGGUGGCUUGCAGAGCCAGCUCUGUGAGGGAGGAGGAAGAGGAUGCUGUGAAGUUUCCAGCAAAGCUAAAGAGGUCUCUGACACUGGUGCGCUUCUGUGGCUCAUGGACAUGGUCAUGCAAGGAGAAUUGGAUACUUAAAAGUCCACUGCUGCACAUCUUUUGCCAAAACUUCUGACAUGUCGAGCCAUGUGUUUUUUUCCACCUUGUGCCCAUGUGGUGGCUCCUGGAGUUUUCUUCUCUGGCAGGUGACUUUGUAGCACCUCACAGACCUGGCACUAGAGGAAGAAGCACGUUGGCUUUGCUAUUCUCCUUUUAGCUCUAUCUGCUGAUUCCAAGGGACUUGUAUGAUUACAUUUGCUUACAUUCCCUUAUGGCAACUUAUUCCCUUUUUUCCUUAUUCCCCUUUUUGGGCCGUUUGUGUGCUUUCUGGUGCUUUGCCAUACAUGCUGACUUCAGCACCAAAGUGGGUUUGAGGGAGCAACAAACUUAGCAUGAAGCUGUUUCUGUUCACCAUAAAACCAAACACCAUAAAGCUAUGCAUGGGACUUCCAAUGGCUCCAUCUUGUAUGUGAUAGGCUUCUGUGUGAGGAGAGUGCAGUAGAUGCCUUCUCUUAAGGACCAGCACUAACCAGUCUUAACAGUCUGCUUUGGAAUAAGGAAGGGUGGAGAAGAUAGAGGAGACACCAGGUACCCCAGUCAGUGAGCUUCAGGGACCUGUGUGUGUGGCCAGCAGAUAAGCCCAGGAACAAGAGGAUCCAGGAGAAGGUGGUUUGGAAGAUAAGGUGGCCCAGAGACAGAGCAAUGUGGAUGGCCACUCUUGUAUGGGCAGUGUGGUGUCUGCACUGUGCUACCUGACGUGGGCUCUCUGAGGGGGCAAGUUGCCAGUCUGGAAGAAUUCAGGGACAGUUGCAAAUUCACACCAAUAUUGUGUGUAUCUGUUUUAUACUGUUACCACCGCCACACUGUUUGUUGUGCCCCGUGCACAGGCCAAAGUAACCGUGGCACCUGUGGCAGUGGAUCGUAGCUUGAUCUCAGAGCUUGUACUGGGCAGCACUUACCUUGCUGGGCAGAUCCAGCUCCAUCUGCUUUCUUGGUUGUUGCAGCAGUUUGUAGCAGCAGACUCGAUGACAGUGCUGAUGGUCAGGUGGAGCUGCUCAAGGAAUGGUGGUCUUCUGCAGGAACAGCCCCGUCUGUGCCCUUUUGAACUGCAGGACUGUCCUGAUUGCCCUGCGCACUCUCCUUUGCUUGAUUUGUUGGUUGAUACACAUUUGAUCUUACACACACAUUUCUUUGCCAGAUUCAAACCAGCUUUUUC